rnacentral:sRNA from 1 species
UCCUAAACCUGAUAGGAAUGAAAAUACUUUUAAAAUUGCAGGAGACUUAGAUAUUCUGUCAUGCUGAGGCACGAAGCAUCCUCAACCGAUGAAACAAUUUCUUCGUUCUUCAGCAUGACAGAAGUUAUUAAAAGAUUGUAAUGGAUAGCAGGGCUGAAU